AACGAACGCUGGCGGCAGGCUUAACACAUGCAAGUCGAGCGCCCCGCAAGGGGAGCGGCAGACGGGUGAGUAACGCGUGGGAACGUACCUUUUGGUUCGGAACAACUCCGGGAAACUGGAGCUAAUACCGGAUAAGCCCUAACGGGGAAAGAUUUAUCGCCGAAAGAUCGGCCCGCGUCUGAUUAGCUAGUUGGUGAGGUAACGGCUCACCAAGGCGACGAUUAGUAGCUGGUCUGAGAGGAUGAUCAGCCACACUGGGACUGAGACACGGCCCAGACUCCUACGGGAGGCAGCAGUGGGGAAUAUUGGACAAUGGGCGCAAGCCUGAUCCAGCCAUGCCGCGUGAGUGAUGAAGGCCUUAGGGUUGUAAAGCUCUUUUGUCCGGGAAGAUAAUGACUGUACCGGAAGAAUAAGCCCCGGCUAACUUCGUG
rnacentral:rRNA from 1 species